rnacentral:rRNA from 1 species
AUGUGCCGCCCCGACCUCCAGCCGACGUGCCGCCCCCCACCUCCCGCCGACGCGCCGCUCCCUCCACCUUCCGGUGACGAGCCGCUCUCCGACCUCCCACCGAAGCGCCGCCGCCUUGAUCCGCCCGGCGCAGGCGUCCCUCCUCUCUGCCACCUCUCCACACGCCAUUUUCCGCGGUCGUCGGCGCCGCACAAGCUUCUGCGGCCGCCGCGCCUCCUGGAUCCAAUGAGGCCGCAUCGCAUUGGCUCGGAUCCGUCCGCCUCCACGUCGUCACCUGCCCAACCCGGCCCCGGCCUCGGAUCCCCCUCCAACCAAAUUCCUGCCAUGGACGAGUUCUGGUUCUCUGGAUUGGUCUUGAUAAAGCUUUCAUACAGGAUACAGCUUAAGCUGGAGUUCAUCGCUAAGCAGAUACUAGGAAACGUGGCUAUCAAUUAUGUUGUAUACAAAAGGUUUGGAACUGGAUCUUCUAAUGAAAGCUGGAGCAGAAGAAGAAGUCCAGGAGGGAGAGAUGGAGAUGUGAGCAUGUAUACAUAUGUUCUGGAGACACUAGACUUAUAUGGUGGUGUGUGCGUGCUGCUGUAUCCUCUUCCGGCCACUCUAAUCUACACCCUCAAUACAAGCCGAUGCAACACCAAGCAGAUCGACAGGGCUGCGGGCUUCAGUUCGACGAUGACGAGCCAGGCAGCCGGCCUUUGCAUCAUGAACUAG